rnacentral:lncRNA from 1 species
GUAUAUGGAUCCAUACUUGAAUGAGAAAAAUAAGACCAAAUAGAUUAGUGACUCAAGACACUAUGCGACGCCACGACACCUUCUAUUGGACACAUGCAAGGCAUGAUUAAGGCUAUUUUUACAAAAUGACCUACGUGGCCAAAAUAUGGCUAGAAUGCAAACUCAACAAAGGUAACCUAAGACAUGAAAAAUUACUUUGCAGUAAUGACCCAUUUUAUAGAAAUGGGCUAUGUGGCCAAAAAAAUGGCUAGCAGUGCAAACUCAACAAAAUGGACCUUAAACAGAGAGCACACCUUGUUGUGGACUUAUGACUCUUAUACAUGGGCUAUUGAACCACUUUUGCGAAAAUGAUCCCAUAUUACAAGAACGACUAAUGUGGCCAAAAGUGGCUAGACAUGUAAAUUCAACAUGGAGAGGCCUUAAAGUAAGGAGAUAGCAAAUUGUGGAUUCAAGACUCUCCAAAACAGUUCAACAAACCACUUUGCAAAAAUAACCCUAUUUUCCGAAGAAGGCCGAUGUGGCCAAAAGUGGCUAGGCAUGCAAGAUUUGGCUACGACCCCCGAAGUCAUGAACCUAAGACUCACUAGGAAGACUGGACCCUAUGUGGGAUGCCUACGUAUCCCGCCCCGAGCGACGAGAAUCAGGUAUGCAUAGUUCGGGGGGAUCAGAUAAUGGGAGAGAAUUUGAAAAAAACAACUCAUUUGGAGAAAAUAUAUUUUUUGUCUUUUUUUUUUGAAAAUGAUGGAAAAUGUAAAAGCUUUUUGGAUUUUUUCUUUUUUUUUUAAAUUUUUGGGAAAAUCGUGAAAGAAAAAUGUGAGUGGGCUCUACUUCAUUUUAUAUUUCAACAUCUUUUCUUCUCAUUUGUACCCAACAAAUAUUGGUCCACCAAAUGACCUUUGUACCCUUAAAAAAUGCAGCAUGUAGCACACAAGGAUGAUUAAAUGUCUUCUUAGGUCACAGACCCACUUUGACAUAAUUUGGAUAGGCCUUCUACAAAGGGACACGGUACCUGGGACCGAGCAGUACUAGAUCUAAAUGACAUGAUGCAAAUAAGAAUGACCUAAAGGCUGACCUAAAUUUGGGGUUCACUAGACAAGGCAAUUCAGGGUGGCACGUGGUUGAUGACGGCUGCUCUAGCUGUCCGCCCACUCCACGCUCCCAUGUCACCCCCCUAAACACACGGGUGACUCAUGAAAAGGCCGUGUAUGCUCAAACGUACUCUGGGAGACUUGUUGCAGAAAGAAGACCCGUGGUUAUGCAAAUGAUGACAAUUUAUAAAGCAGUAACAUAUAAGGAAAAGUGAUAAACAAAUAACCAACAAAAUAAGAAAUAAGACAAACAAACCAAAUAAACAAAAUAAAUAAAGAAAACAAACACCUCAACCGAAUAUUCUAAAAAGGCAACAAGAUCAAGUAUCAGCUCGACCCUGCAAGUUCCCUAGCAUCACAACCCCUUUUUCCCGAGGGGAUAAGGAGUUUUUCUAAUUAAAGUGACAUUAUUGAAAUGAGAUUAUUUAAUUAAUCAGAGUCGCCACUUGGAAUAAUUUAUGGUGUCCCAAGUCACCAGUUCAUUUUAAAUCCCAAAUUGAGGAAGUUUUGACUCUGUUUUACAGUCCGCAAAACACAGAAAAUCAGGUAAGGAACUCUUUAACCCGGAAGAAGGUGUGAGACAUACCUGAAUUCCGUAGGUUUAGUACGCUUGCUCAACUAUUAAUAAUUGGCCUAAUUAUCUAAUUAAUUACGUGUUUAAAAUCUUUUAUGCAUUUUUACUUUCUACUGCUUUUAGUUAUUUUAAAUUUGUUUGAACAAGUCGCGAUUGUCGCACACUAAUUUGUUUUGUACAUAUUGCAAAUCGCGUCACGGGAACUGUACCCACGAUCUACAACAUGCUUAUUUUAUUAAUAUUCGAAGUUACGGUCGGAUCACUUGAAAUACACACCCGAAUUUGGAUUUAUGUAUCGUAACUAUGCCACGAGAACCGUACCCAUAAUCACGAGGAUUUAUUUAUGCGCCUAAAAUUUUUCCUACCCAAGUUAUAGGCCUAAACAUGCUCCUGACGAUUUGAACAACAACAUAAAACUAAUUAAAGAUAUCUAAAUCCAAAUUAUCUUUCACAUUUUAUGUCCAGCCCUCGACCUAAGGAACCAAGAUAAAACAAAAACAUAAUUCACGAUGAUUCCCCAAUGAACCAAUACUUGGCUCAACCAAUAAAUUAACACCCACCUAAUUGACUUUCAUUAUAGAAAAGGACAGAUGAUUUGUAUUAGUAGUUAAAAUAACAAUUAUUUACUAAUUGGAUGAAACAUCCCCUUCUAGUGACUGAAUCUCAGCAAGCAAUUAUCAAACAUUCAAGCUAAUCACAACAUUUGUCAAUUAGUUUAUAUAGCCCCAACAAUCAUAUAUUUGAUUAAAAGAAAUAUAAUAAUAGAGAAUGGAUUAAAAUGGACCUUUAGUCGAGAUUUAUUCUCCGAUUAAAUGACAGAACCUUCAAAAUCAUAUAGAUAUGCUCAAUCUGAAAAGUGUGAAACAAGAAAAUCCAGCGACGAGCUUUAGCCGAAAAAUGAAUUGAAAUUCCCAAAAUUGAACCACACCGGAACCUCGACAAUCUUUAUUUUCGAACCAGUGACAGUAUCUACAAUCUUGAGACGAAACUCAAUUGUUUCCUCUAGGUUUUUAAUUUUUGUCCAUUCCUCCCUAUGUGCAUGCAUGUCUCUUUUUCUUUUUUGUGUAGAAGUAUUUGAUUUGGGAAAUUGGAGGUGGCAGAGGCAUGUCCCUUUGGUGUGUGCGGCUGCUACUUUUUUUUUUAAUCUCUAGGGUUUGUAAUUAGGUUAGGUUUCUAUAAGUGGGUAUUUUAUAUGGAGAUGAGAAGGGAUGAUGG